rnacentral:rRNA from 1 species
UAACGCGUGAAGUAGACCGCCUGGGGAGUACGGUCGCAAGAUUAAAACUCAAAGGAAUUGACGGGGACCCGCACAAGCGGUGGAUGAUGUGGAUUAAUUCGAUGCAACGCGAAAAACCUUACCUACCCUUGACAUGGCAGGAAUCCUGGAGAGAUCUGGGAGUGCUCGAAAGAGAACCUGCACACAGGUGCUGCAUGGCUGUCGUCAGCUCGUGUCGUGAGAUGUUGGGUUAAGUCCCGCAACGAGCGCAACCCUUGUCAUUAGUUGCUACGCAAGAGCACUCUAAUGAGACUGCCGGUGACAAACCGGAGGAAGGUGGGGAUGACGUCAAGUCCUCAUGGCCCUUAUGGGUAGGGCUUCACACGUCAUACAAUGGUACAUACAGAGGGCCGCCAACCCGCGAGGGGGAGCUAAUCCCAGAAAGUGUAUCGUAGUCCGGAUCGUAGUCUGCAACUCGACUACGUGAAGUUGGAAUCGCUAGUAAUCGCGGAUCAGCAUGUCGCGGUGAAUACGUUCCCGGGUCUUGCACACACCGCCCGUC